GAACAUUUACUGUCCAUUUAGAUAUUGGAGUUUCCAACUUUGUCUUGCACUGACAAGGUAAUACAAAUACUAAAGAUUAAUCAAGCCCAACCAGAUAGGUCAGUUAACAAAGAUAGAGAGAAAAACUAAAACAACUUCUGGGGUUGCUCAGAACAAGAAAGAAUCCUGCCAAAUGCAGUGCACUCUGUACAUAUGUUAAAAUGGAAAUUGUAUAGUUAUUUUAGUAACUAUCUGAAGUUCCUGAUUUUGAUGGUAUUUACCAAAAUACAUAAUGUUUGAUGCAAAACCAUUUUCUGUGAUGGAAGUUGAAUACAGAGAUGGAAAUUUUCCAGCGUGUUUUUGUAACUUCCUCAAGAUUUAUAGUUUGUACUCCUCGUGGUAUUUACCAAAUACAUUUGAUGCAAAAUGUUUUGUUUGUGAUGGAACUUGAACACAAAGAUGGAAAUUGCACAUCUUCUUGUAACUUUCCCAAGAUUUAGGUUUUUUUUUACUUUUCAUGAUAUCUACCAAAAUACAUGGAAAAGAAUAAAAAUCCUAUAACCCAAGUGCUUUCGAAAGGUGGACCUUUCUUCUUCAGGGGCAAACUGGCAAUGCAUUAUAGUGCAAAACCAUUUAUUUUUGCUGGAAGUUGAAUGCAGUGAUCUGUUUCGUAUUAUCAGAUUUGUGACUUUUCAAAUUAUUUUGUUAUACUACAUACACAACUUCAGACUGUGAUAUCAUUAGAAUAAUUUGUAAAAGAUGUACGUUACUAUAACCAUCACUAGUUAUGAAACAAUGUUUGUUCUUUUUAAUUUUUUGAAACUCUUUUAAUCUUGUUUUCUGCUUUAACUCCAUGACAAAUUCAAGGGCAAUGAUUUCUCUUUUUUGUGGCCCAGUAUGGCCAGGUGGUUAGGGAGCUUGACUUGCAAUCAGAGGGUUGCAGAUUCGAAUCCCUGUUCUACCAAACAUGCUUGCCCUUUCAGCUGUGGGGGUGGUAUUAUGUGACAGUCAAUCCCACUAUUCAUUGGUAAAAGAGUAGCCCAAGAGUUGG
rnacentral:lncRNA from 1 species